rnacentral:rRNA from 1 species
UACGUAGGUGGCAAGCGUUGUCCGGAUUUACUGGGCGUAAAGGGCGUGCAGGCGGUCUGUUAAGUCUAGGGUGAAAGCUCCCGGCUCAACUGGGAGAGGUCCUUGGAUACUGGCAGACUUGAGGAGAGUAGAGGAGAGUGGAAUUCCCGGGUGUAGUGGUGAUAUGCGUAGAUAUCGGGGAGGAACACCAGUGGCGAAGGCGGCUCUCUGGGCUCUACCUGACGCUGAGACGCGAAAGCGUGGGGAGCGAACCGG